UACCCGCGGCCCAAGUGGUGGUCGAUAUUAUUGAGCCUAAAACGUCCGUAGCCGGUCUUGUAAAUCCUUGGGUAAAUCGACCAGCUUAACUGUUCGAAGUCCGGGGAGACUGCAAGACUUGGGAUCGGGAGAGGUGAGAGGUACUUCUGGGGUAGGGGUAAAAUCCUGUAAUCCUAGAAGGACCACCGGUGGCGAAGGCGUCUCACUAGAACGAAUCCGACGGUGAGGGACGAAGCCCUGGGGCGCAAACGGGAUUAGAUACCCCGGUAGUCCAGGGUGUAAACGCUGCGGGCUUGGUGUUGGGGGUCCUUUGAGGGCGCCCAGUGCCGGAGAGAAGUUGUUAAGCCUGCUGCUUGGGGAGUACGUCCGCAAGGAUGAA
rnacentral:rRNA from 1 species